AGUGAGCGGCAAAGCUCAAAUUUGAAUCUGGUACCUUCGGUGCCCGAGUUGUAAUUUGGAGAGGGCAACUUUGGGGCCGUUCCUUGUCUAUGUUCCUUGGAACAGGACGUCAUAGAGGGUGAGAAUCCCGUGUGGCGAGGAGUGCGGUUCUUUGUAAAGUGCCUUCGAAGAGUCGAGUUGUUUG
rnacentral:rRNA from 1 species